GCUGUUAGUUGUGGGUACCGUCUUGUGGACGCUUCACGAGACAGGUUACUGCAGGACGAGGUCUUCAAGGCAGCUGUGGGCUGAGUGGUGUUCGCCAAGGAGCCUGGGUGAGAACCGAUUUGCAGUGAGUGCAUCACCAGGCUGAGCCAUGGGGUGUUUAAGGUCAGUUCUCUCUAAAGAUGUAGUUGUCCUGAAUGGAUUUUGUGGGUGUGGAUUCCUCACUGGAGAGGUGGGCUGGUGUGAAGGCAGAUUGAGCCUGGUCUCUCUUGCCUGGAGGUGCCGCUGAAGAAGUGAGCUUCAAAUUUCCACUUCACAUCCUUCUGGAGCAUGAAGAGUUAAUGGAGCACUGUGGAAGGGAUGGCAUGGCACAGUUCCAGCCCCAAGAGCAGACAGAGCUAGCAGGGUGUGGGCCUUUACAAGUGUUGGCCAUUGGUAGGCAUAAGGUUUACUUAUGUAAUAAUGUACACAGUUAACUUUAUCAUUUCCUCCUUUGAGAAAAUGCUCUCCCUGCCAAGGUUGAUGAUCCCAUGAACAAAAGAAGCAGCAAGAGUCUGGGAGGUGAGUGUCUAAUGGCCUUAGCAAAAUGGUAAGUGCUCUUAAGGCUAUGGGAAAGAACUCUGAAAACAUGUGUUCAAAAACUGUGUAGGUUGGAUUUCCCAUCUGUGCAAGAUACAAGCCCAAAAUAUAAUUCAUACAAAAUGUGAAUUAUAUGAGGGGCUUCACUGUGAGCAAGAGUCUGUAAUUGCUCUCUCCUGAUUUGUACUUUUGUGUGAUCAAGUUUUCUGUAAACCGGUUUAAUAUCCUAGAUAAUUGAUAGAAUCUCCUCUUUGUGGGGUUUUUGUUUUUGUUUUUGAGGAAUAAUUUUUAAUCCCCAACAAGGCAAAACUCUCUGCUUCAUCAAACAUUUCUUCUAAGAAUUAGCCAGUAAGAUAUCAUCCAUAUAAUGAUACAUUUUAGAAUGAGCAAACUGUUUAUAACAGCUGUAGGAAAUGUUAACACAGUGCCAGACUGUUUGGAAGAACUUUCCAGUGACACCGUUGACACAGGUUGACACAAGUUGAGCACUACUAUAAGUAUUGCCAGGAAGGCAAUUUUUCCUUAUCCUGUUUUUGUAAAGGUGCAGUGAAGAAGUAGUCUUGUAAAUCAAUCACUAUAAUAGAUCAUCCCUUAGGUAAUGAUGAAGGCAAGGGAAUUCCAGGCUAUAAAGAGCCCCAUUGGCUCAAUCACCUUAUUUAUGGCUCUAAAAUCUGUUAAUAGUCCCCAUUUUCCAGGUUUCUUCUUAAUGACAAAUAUAGGAGAACGCCAAAGACUGAUUGGUUGUCCACUAUGUUGGACGUUUUGCUGCUUCUGCAGCAGCUGUCCUAGUGCCUCUAAGUGUUCUGAUGUCAAAGGCCAAUGUUCCACCCACGCAUGUUUGUCAUCUAACCAUUUUAAAGUUACGGCAGUUCGUGUCUUUGAAAGUCCAACAGCUGUUGUAUCCUGCUUAUAUAUGACAUUAUGGCUGUACUUGAAAAUACCUUCUAGUAUUAUUCUCAGAAGUGUUUAUUUUCUGGAUUGUUUCUGAGAUGAAAGGAAUGUUAAUCUGUAUUUUCCAUUGCUGCAACAAAUCACUCGCCAUAAUUUCAUGGCUACGUUAGCCACAGAUGGCUUUAAUUCUCCUAUUUGCCUUCUGGUCCUACACACUCGACCCAUCUUGCACCUCUUCAUCUGAGAUAAAGUUCCAACCUCCAGAAGGUGAAUAUGUAGCUCCUGAAGAGGCCAAUCCGGAUGCCAAGAUUUUGGUGACAUUAUAGUCUCAUCUGCUUCUGUGUCUACUCAAUCUUCAAUGCCGUUUAGCUUUGGUACCCAGUUUGUUCAUAGCAGUUUACUAAACUGCUUGUUUUCUGGUCUCACCUGAAUUUUUUGUUUGUUUGUUUUUAUCUGCUGAAGCUGUUCUGCCAUUGAUUCUGUCCAGAAUCGUGCUGUGUUAACAACAGGCCUUAAAUCUUUUCAUUGCUCUGUGUGGAUGAGCUUUUCUGAUGCUGACAGGGAAUGAUUGAAGCAAAUUUGUUUACUGGGGGCUGCAGGAUGCAUCCUAGGAUGUUUCCUGACAGCAAAAGUCCACCUUGCCUGUCCCUAGUUGAUCUGAAUUUGUUACUCAGUGCCAGGCUUUGCCCCACCUUGUGCAUGCUCCAGAAGUCUGGGGCCUUCUUUUUGGAUUGUCUGUAGAAGAAAAAUUGUUUCUAGGUAUGUCUUGCUUAUAAUCCCUUUUCAAGUGACCAAAUGUUAAAACAUUUGACAUUUUGAUUUUUCUUACAACUUUUAGAUGUUGCUUUACCUAUUAGAGUAUCAUUAUAAAUGUGAGAUGCAAUAUCAGCCAAAUUUCUAAUCCAUUCAUUUAUUGGUGCCAAUCUUGCCUUUAAAGGCCUAAUCACCCCUUCUGCAUUCUGAAUUAGCAUUCUCAAAAUGCAAAGAUUCAAUUCAUAUUCGUCUGACUUCUGAAUCUGAUAUUAUGCUAUUUAUCCCUGAAGUCAAUCUAUGCACACACACAAAAAAAAAUCAGUAAAGACUUCUUUUGGGCCUUGUAUAAUUUUAGUAAAAGACUCAGACCUCUUUCCUGAUUCUUCAGCCUUAUCUCAAGCAUUGAAAGCUGUUAAAUGACAUAGCACUAAGGUGUGAUCACAAAAUUCAAGCUGCCUUUGUAACUCGGCAUACUGAGCUUCACCCAGCAACUGAUCUUGGGAACUAUUAAUACCCCUAGCCCUAUUUUGUAGUUCCAUAGCCCUAGUAUCCUCUUUGCACCAUGUUCUCCAUUGUAACUGAGGGCCAGCUUCCAAUUUUGCUGUUGCCAAAUCUUUCCAGUCUUGGGGGAUAAUUCUGAGGUGCCCAUAAGUUAAUAUCUGAUUCACCUAGGGUGAUCACACACCAUACAAAACGAUAGCCUCCUUAAAUCCUCUCAAAUCACACUUGUCUAUGGGAUUCAGUUUAACAUCUUCAUCACCUUGGGGCUGGCUAUUGCCUGCUGUUUCUUGGACAGUAACUGGAUAUAGACUAAGGUUGGUUUUCUAACAGCCUUGGUCUGCCCCUCUUCAGUGUCAUCAUGCAGUGGUGCAAUAGGUUCUUGUCUAAAUUCCUCUGCCUGUGUCUGAGUAUUUUUCUUAUUUUCAUCUAUAUAAGUCUUUCUAAGACUUAUAUCUUAUGAAUCCAUUCUUCACAUUUGUC
rnacentral:lncRNA from 1 species